rnacentral:lncRNA from 1 species
UCCACCUUCAUGCUAUAUCCAGUUCUCAUCAGCUCUACUGUUGCCACCUGGUCUGAGCCACUGUCAUUCCUCAUGUGGGUUAUUGCAAUGGCCUCCUAACUGGCCCCUCCUUAGAGGAAGACUCUUUUCCCUCUAAGUCUGUUUGUCACAUACAGCAGUGAGAAUACUCUUUGAAGCACAUCUAUCAGAUUGUACCAUUCCAAAGCGCAAAACCCUCCAGUGGUUUUCCAUUCACUUGGAGCAAGGCUUUGCCAGACCCGGAGCAUCUUUCUGACUUCAACUCCUUCCACUCUCCUCCCCGCUUUGUCACUCUCUUCCUCAGCCACUGAUUUCCUUGUAAGUCUUUAACCAUUGAAUAGGUCAGGAUGGUUCCCUCUCAGGGCCUUUGCCCAUGCUGUUGCUUCCACGGGAACCUCUUUGUCAUGAAUAUCCAAUGCUCACUCCUUCGUCAUCUAUCUUUCAGAACUCUGCCUAAGUGGCCUCAUGUAUAUAUGCCAUAUAUAUAUAUAUAUAUAUAUGCCUAUGUCUGUAUAUAUCUAUAAUAUCUAUAUUAUAUAUAAUGUUUCAAGUGUACAAUGGUGAUUUACAAUUUCUAAAGGUUAUACUCCAUCUAUAGUUAUUAAGACAUUGGCUAUAUUCUCUGUGUUGUACAAUAUAUCCUUGCAGCUUAUUUUAUACCUAAGAAUUUGUAUCUCUUGCUCCUUCCCCAUCUUUCUCUUCCCACAGGUAACCACUAGUUUGUUCUCUAUAUCUGUAAGUUUAUUCCUUUUUUUUUAUUCAUUAGUUUGUUUUAUUUUUUUUUCAAAAGUCAUCUGACUCAGAGAGGCCUCUCUUAAUAAUAUUUCAAAUGGAACAUCCUACCCAACUCUGACCGUCUCUAGCUGUGUUUUUCUCCAGAGCGGGCAUCAUUCCCUGAUUUGUGGAUGAUUUUGUUUGUAGCCAGUCCUGGAAAGUAAGCUCCAAGUAAGCAGGGCUUUGUGUUGUUUGCUGUUCUAUCCUCAGUGCCCAGAAGUGUGCUUGGCAUCUGGCAGGCAAUACAUUUUUACGGAACGAGUACGUGUUCGUGAGGGUGGAUGUACAGUGAGGGAAGGGGUGUGUGUGUAGAUAUAAGCUAUGUUGAGUCCCAUGCAAUUGCAAGCGUUUGACCACUUUUGUCAUUUGUCAUUACUGGACAGUGUGGGACCUCAAUGAUCAUAGUCCAACUCUCUGUUUUGCAGUGGAGCUCCUUGAGACUGGGAAAAGGCGAAUGACUCGAUCCAGGGACAUUUAGCGAUGGGAACGAGUCUUUCUCCUGUGAGCAAAAGGUUUUCGAAAGCAGAGCACCCAGAUAAUAUCAAUCAGCCGUGCGUGGGAUAUUGGUCCUUCCCAUGUGUUAUGGUUUUUGUCUUCAUCUCUGAGCAGGCUGGGCGAAAUGCUUUCAAAGAGACUUUCAUCCAUUUGGGCAGGAUAAUGCUUUCCAGAGCACUCUUAGAGAAGGCUCAGAGCUGCUUCUGCACCACUGUCAACAUGAGGUCCUUCCACAUUGGCUGAGUCGGAGCCAGGAAGCACCUUGAACUUACUGCUUUGGGCCUUUGGCAAGAAAGUUUGCAGCUGGGUGCCUUGAGGAGUCAAGUCUGGGCUGAACUGCAAGUUUCGAGCUAAGAAUACUUAGAGCGUGGCGGGAGCCACAUGGCUUUUUCAUGCAGAAGUCUCAGCUCGGCAAGCCUUCCACUCCAUAUCUGUGGCAAGACCCCUUCCUGGGAAUUGUGCCCCACGCAGGGGUGGGUGGGGGAAGAUCUCAGUGGCGCUCCCUGUGGAAAAACCUGAAGGAGGAAUGUUGAUUUCCUUGGGGGUGUCCACUGUAUAGUGAAUUUGACUAGUUUCUUCUGAAGUUUCUCAGUGAAUCGUGUUUGAUGUGAAUUUAUUGCUUCGUAAAACUUACUAGAAGGGAAAGGGGCUGGUCGGGAGACAUUUGGAUUGAUUUUCCAACAAAUCAGGAUUUGAGAGCAAUGUGAGAUGAGGGCUCUCAUGCCAAAGCUGAACAAAGAGCGAGAGUCCUUUUCGACAAAGUUUGCAGUUCUUUUUACAUGAACUGUGUCUCUGAAUUACCUAAGGAUGCAUCUGGCUUCACCUGGAAAGCUCUUUGGCCUGGGAGUAAAAUUUAACCACAGACUUGCAUGCUCAGGUUUGGGAUCUUGUGUUAAGGAUUUUCCUUAAAAAUGGAUCCAACCCUGCUAAUUUAUAGGCUCAAUUUGUUGCAAUUAUGUUUCACAAAAUUUCUCCCUGAAUGUUGUGCUAUUGGACUUUUCGAGGCUACAGUUUGUAUCAGGAUACAUACCUUUUCAGAAGGUCAGUGCUGGAAACCCAGGACUCUCUGCACUGAGAUGUGGAGAGAUUGGCUAAGCUCAUUCUGUGCUCAGAGUUAGUGAUGAGUUAGAUUUUCUUAAGUCUUACUCAGAAGCCCUGUCUACACUUGGAUGCCUGGCCACAAAAUUUCCUAUCAGGACUUCACCUGGAACCCGUAGGUGGGCCCACUUCUUUGGUCAUCUCCCACAUCCCAUAUUUGUUAUGGGCUCUAUAAUGUUUUCCUUACAGAGGCAGGACUGCUUCUCAGCCGGAAAUAUGUUCAGAGCAUGCGGUCUGUAUUUGUCACACUGCAGUUUAAGUUUGUGAGGGCAUUUCCAGACUGUAUUGCCUGGUUUCAAACCCCACCUCUGUCAGCUGUGGGACUUGGGGUAAGUUAGAUAGCUUCUCCGAGCCUCAGUUUCCUCAUCUGUGAACUGGGAAUAAUAACCAUAUCACUGACCUCACCGUAUGGUGUUUUUGUGGGGAUUAGGUGAACUAAUAGUGGUCAAGUGUUUUACUGCCCAACGCAAGCGCUCGGUAAAUACCAUUAUGAUGGUAAUAACAUCCCAACUUGCCUACACUGAAUCAACUUCCCUCGGUCACUGGUGACUGUCCUGUUCCAUCUGCUUCGAGACAGUUGCAUGUCUUCAAAUCAUCUCUCAAGUCGGAUCUUCAUAGGCCUCUGGUAUGUCUCUCAUUUCGCAGGUGCUAUAUGAUGGAGCUUUCCUGGAGGGUCCUUUCUUUCCUUACCUCCAGAACAUUCUGGCUUAUUCAGUCAUUGGCCUGGAAGUACUGUUAUGGCCUCCCUCACCACCUUCCUUCCUAAAGAAUUAAUGCUUUUAAUUUCCAAUUAGAGAAUUUGCAUAUUUAUAAACAACCCAUGGCCACAUUAUCCAGCCAUGAAGCAGUUUAACUAGAGAAUGCUCAUUGAAAAUGAGCAAGGAGUUCCCACUGUGGCUCAGCGGAAAAGAAUCUGAUCAGCAUCUGUGAGGAUGCACAUUCAAUCCCGGGCCUUGCUCAUUGGGUUGAGGAUCUGGCAUUGCCAUGAACUGUGGUGUAGAUCGCAGACACAGUUUGGAUCUGGCGUUGCUGUGGUGUAGGCUGGUGGCUGCAGCUCUGAUUAGAUCCCUAGUCUGGGAACCUCCAUAUGCCACCCAUGUGGCCCCAAAAAGACAAUUCCAACAACAACAAUAAAGAAAAUGGGUGAGUAUUGGGCCGAUGUUAUCCAAAUGUUGGGCUGGUGUUAUCUCAGGAAAGGUGAUGUUACAGCUGCUUCAUAGACUAUUCCCAUCACAUUUGGGUGGGGGGUGGGAGCUGCAUGCCCCGGCAACCCUAGGAACAGGUAGGGAUACCUGAACAGCCCCAGGUGAAUAUCAGAUCCAGUCCAAGAGGCAAAGGACAGAGUC